rnacentral:rRNA from 1 species
CCCUUAGAUGUUCUGGGCCGCACGCGCGCUACAAUGAUGAAUUCAACGAGUUUAUAACCUUGGUUGAAAAGCCUGGGUAAUCUUUUGAACUUUCGUCGUGAUGGGGCUAGACCCUUGCAAUUAUUGGUCUCCAACGAGGAAUUCCUAGUAAACGCAAGUCAUCAGCUUGCAUUGAUUACGUCCCUGCCCUUUGUACACACCGCCCGUCGCACCUACCGAUUAAAUGGUCCGGUGAAAUCUUCGGAUUGAGACUUUGAUUUCUUCACGGAAAACGCUGUUUUAAAAAGUUGAUUAAACCUUACCAUUUAGAGGAAGGUGAAGUCGUAACA